rnacentral:rRNA from 1 species
UACGUAGGGUGCAAGCGUUAAUCGGAAUUACUGGGCGUAAAGCGUGCGCAGGCGGUUAUGUAAGACAGGUGUGAAAUCCCCGGGCUUAACCUGGGAACUGCAUUGUGACUGCAUAGCUAGAGUACGGUAGAGGGGGAUGGAAUUCCGCGUGUAGCAGUGAAAUGCGUAGAUAUGCGGAGGAACACCGAUGGCGAAGGCAAUCCCCUGGACCUGUACUGACGCUCAUGCACGAAAGCGUGGGGAGCAAACAGG